CACGUAGGGGGCGAGCGUUGUCCGGAUUUAUUGGGCGUAAAGAGCUCGUAGGCGGUUCGCUAAGUCGGGUGUGAAACCUCCAGGCUCAACCUGGAGACGCCACCUGAUACUGGUGUGACUAGAGUCCGGUAGGGGAGUGUGGAACUCCUGGUGUAGCGGUGAAAUGCGCAGAUAUCAGGAAGAACACCAGCGGCGAAGGCGGGUCUCUGAGCCGAUACUGACGCUGAGGAGCGAAAGCGUGGGGAGCAAACAGG
rnacentral:rRNA from 1 species